rfam:Stegodyphus mimosarum contig59230, whole genome shotgun sequence.
CCCUUCGUGAUGUAGUGGUUUGCAUGCUCGACGUGUAAUCGAGAGGUCCGUGGUUCGAUUCCCAGCGAAGGCU